GGCACCAUAGCCAAGUGGUUACGGCGACAGAUUCGAAUACCCUCGAACAUCUGUUACUCUUUGAGUGCGUAGGUUCGAAUCCUGCUGGUGUCG